rnacentral:lncRNA from 1 species
UCUGGAUGACUUCUCUGAACAGCAUGGGGUCAAGGAUGACUGCCAAGUCACACCUGCCUUUCUCCUGGAUGUCUUUUCUUAUCAUUACAGUUGAAAUGCAAGAGAAACCCUAAAAGAAAUGUGAAGCUGAGAAGGACACAGCUCUCUGACCAUGACCACAGGAAGUGGCCCCAGCAUGGACAGCUGAACAUGGGAGCUGCUUAACAACCAGGUCCAAAAGUGGGAGCAUUCUCAAAGUAACACCUUCCUCCCUGACUUACACAGGGCCUGGUGCAGAAGUGCUUCUCCUUCCCCUUGCCCCUGGACCUGAGCCGGAGCUGUCUAUCUACAUGAGGACACCAUCUGGCAACACUGAAAUGUUGCCCUCACUGUAUGCCAUCACCAGGAAGACAAGCAAUAGAUAAUGAGUGAAAAUAAAAU